UCAUUUUUGAUGAGACGCUGAAUAAAAGAAGGUUAAUCGCCGGCAAACGAAAACCCGCGAUUUCCCGUAAAUCCCGGGCUUGGCCCAUAUAGUCAAAAGUAUACAAAGAAAGUACCCUGUGAGUAAACUCAUUUCCAGAACGAUUUAUUAAAUUAUUUUUUCACCACUAAAACGCAAAAGACUUGUAGUUUUUAAAAAUGUUUUCAUUUUUGAUGAGACGCUGAAUAAAAGAAGUUUAAUCGCCGGCAAACGAAAACCCGCGAUUUCCCGUAAAUCCCGGCUUGGCCUGUAUAGUCAAAAGUAUACAAAGAAAGUACCCAGGGAGUAAACUCAUUUCCAGAACGAUUUUUUAAAUUAUUUUUUCACCACUAAAACGCAUAAGACUUGUAGUUUUCAAAAAUGUUUUCAUUUUUGAUGAGACGCUGAAUAAAAGAAGUUUAAUCGCCGGCAAACGAAAACCCGCGAUUUCCCGUAAAUCCCGGCUUGGCCUGUAUAGUCAAAAGUAUACAAAGAAAGUACCCAGGGAGUAAACUCAUUUCUUGAACGAUUUUUUAAAUUAUUUUUUCACCACUAAAACGCAUGAGACUUGUAGUUUUCAAAAAUGUUUUCAUUUUUGAUGAGACGCUGAAUAAAAGAAGUUUAAUCGCCGGCAAACGAAAACCCGCGAUUUCCCGUAAAUCCCGGGCUUGGCCCGUAUAGUCAAAAGUAUACAAAGAAAGUACCCUGUGAGUAAACUCAUUUCCAGAACGAUUUUUUAAAUUAUUUUUUCACCACUAAAACGCAUAAGACUUGUAGUUUUUAAAAAUGUUUUCAUUUUUGAUGAGACGCUGAAUAAAAGAAGUUUAAUCGCCGGCAAACGAAAACCCGCGAUUUCCCGUAAAUCCCGGCUUGGCCCGUAUAGUCAAAAUAAUACAAAGAAAGUACCCAGGGAGUAAACUCAUUUCCCGAACGAUUUUUUAAAUUAUUUUUUCACCACUAAAACGCAUAAGACUUGUAGUUUUCAAGAUUGUUUUCAUUUUUGAUGAGACGCUGAAUAAAAGCAGUUUAAUCGCCGGCAAACGAAAACCCGCGAUUUCCCGUAUAUCCCGGGCUUGGCACGGAUAGUCGCAUGUAUACAAAGAAAGUACCCUGUGAGUAAACUCAAUUCCAGAACGAUUUUUUAAAUUAUUUUUUCACCACUUAAACGCAUAAGACUUGUAGUUUUUAAAAAUGUUUUCAUUUUUGAUGAGACGCUUAAUAAAAGAGGUUUAUUUGCCGGCAAACGAAAUCCCGCGAUUUCCCGUAAAUCCCGGGCUUGGCCCGUAUAGUCGAAUGUAUACAAAGAAAGUACCCAGGAAGUAAACUCAUUUCCCGAACGAUUUUUUAAAUUUUUUUUUCACCACUAAAACGCAUGAGACUUUUAUUUUCAAAAAUGUUUUCAUUUUUGAUGAGACGCUGAAUAAAAGAAGUUUAAUCGCCGGCAAACGAAAACCCGCGAUUUCCCGUAAACCCCGGACUCGGCCCGUAUAGUCAAAAGUAUACAAAGAAAGUACCCUGUGAGUAAACUCAUUUCCAGAACGAUUUUUUAAAUUAUUUUUUCACCACUAAAACGCAUAAGACUUGUAGUUUUUAAAAAUGUUUUCAUUUUUGAUGAGACGCUGAAUAAAAGAAGUUUAAUCACCGGCAAACGAAAACCCGCGAUUUCCCGUAAAUCCCGGCUUGGCCCGUAUAGUCAAAAGUAUACAAAGAAAGUACCCAGGGAGUAAACUCAUUUCC